AAACGACUCUCGGCAACGGAUAUCUCGGCUCACGCAUCGAUGAAGAACGUAGCAAAAUGCGAUACUUGGUGUGAAUUGCAGAAUCCCGUGAACCAUCGAGUUUUUGAACGCAAGUUGCGCCCUAAGCCAUCCGGUUGAGGGCACGCCUGCCUGGGCGCCACG
rnacentral:rRNA from 1 species